GCUUGUCUCAAAGAUUAAGCCAUGCAUGUCUAAGUACAAGCCUCAGUAAGGUGAAACCGCGAAUGGCUCAUUAAAUCACACCUAAUCUACUGGAAAGUUACUAGUUACUUGGAUAACUGAGGUAAUUCUUGAGCUAAUACAUGCGAAAAAUCUCGACUCACGGAGAGAUGCUUUUAUUAGAUCAAAACCAAACGGCUUCGGCCGUCUCAUUGGUGACUCUGAAUAACUUUGGGCUGAUCGUAUGGCCUUGUGCCGACGACGUUUCCUUCGAAGGUGUGCCCUAUCAACUUUCGAUGUUUGGGUAUUGGCCAAACAUGGUUGCAACGGGUAACGGAGGGUUAGGGCUCGACCCCGGAGAAGGAGCCUGAGAAACGGCUACUACAUCCAAGGAAGGCAGCAGG
rnacentral:rRNA from 1 species